rnacentral:rRNA from 1 species
GACGAACGCUGGCGGCGUGCGUAACACAUGCAAGUCGAACGAGAGAGUGAGAGAAGCUUGCUUUUCUUACAAUCGAGUGGCAAACGGGUGAGUAACGCGUAAACAACCUGCCCCGCAGAUGGGGACAACAGCUGGAAACGGCUGCUAAUACCGAAUACGGUCCUCUUAGCGCAUGGUAAGAGGAAGAAAGGGUGGCCUCUGGGACAAGCUACCGCUGCGGGAGGGGUUUGCGUCUGAUUAGCUGGUUGGAGGGGUAACGGCCCACCAAGGCGACGAUCAGUAGCCGGUCUGAGAGGAUGAACGGCCACAUUGGAACUGAGACACGGUCCAGACUCCUACGGGAGGCAGCAGUGGGGAAUCUUCCGCAAUGGGCGAAAGCCUGACGGAGCAACGCCGCGUGAGUGAAGACGGCCUUCGGGUUGUAAAGCUCUGUUAUAGGGGACGAACGGCCGGGUAGCGAAGAGGUAGCCGGCAGACGGUA